CUGCCGCUCCUGUCAGCCCCAGCGGCUCCCCCCGCCCGUGCCCUCAUCCCGCGCUGCGCUGCCCUGCACGGUGCGGCUACCCGGCCAGGCACCCGACUCACUCCGGCGACCCCGAAGCCGAGAAAACGGCCGGGUAACCCCCCCGCUCCCCUCCCCCAGUACGGCUCCGCACAAAGCCCCCGGCCGCAGCCGCCCGCCCGCCGCUGUCACUCCGCUGCCCACCUCAGCCAGGAAGCAGAAAUAGUUCCUCAGCAGAAAGAAUUGAAGACUUCAGCUUUUGCAUUAUCCGUUUUCUCUGAAUACAGCCCACAGUUAUGUGCUAGCUAAAAUGACAAUUCACUGAAGAAAGUAAACAGACUGAGAUGUGUUCAGUGCAGCGUCCCUAUUAUCAUCUGAAUUUUUGAACAACCCCUUUAUCAAACUCAGCUCCCACAGCUGCAUGGAGUCCCAUAACAUGUCAAGCUGUUAUCUGCUUCAACAAGGAUCCAGGUGACCUUUUUGACACCUGUUGCAGUAUUAACAUCUCACAGCAAACCAGAGGAGGGGGAGCAAACAGAUCAGGCUGGAAGUCUAUGAAAAGUUAGCUUUUUUUUUUUCUUCCACUGUCACUAGCUUCUAUUUCUGCA